UACAGAGGGGGCAGGCGUUGUUCGGAAUUACUGGGCGUAAAGGGCGCGUAGGCGGCCUGUUAAGUCGAACGUGAAAUCCCCGGGCUCAACCCGGGAACUGCGUCCGAUACUGGCAGGCUUGAAUCCGGGAGAGGGAUGUGGAAUUCCAGGUGUAGCGGUGAAAUGCGUAGAUAUCUGGAGGAACACCGGUGGCGAAGGCGGCAUCCUGGACCGGUAUUGACGCUGAGGCGCGAAAGCGUGGGGAGCAAACAGG
rnacentral:rRNA from 1 species